rnacentral:rRNA from 1 species
UGGGCACUGUCUCAACGAGAGACUCGGUGAAAUCAUAGUACCUGUGAAGAUGCAGGUUACCCGCGACAGGACGGAAAGACCCCGUGGAGCUUUACUGUAGCCUGAUAUUGAAAUUCGGCACAGCUUGUACAGGAUAGGUAGGAGCCUUUGAAACGUGAGCGCUAGCUUACGUGGAGGCGCUGGUGGGAUACUACCCUAGCUGUGUUGGCUUUCUAACCCGCACCACUUAUCGUGGUGGGAGACAGUGUCAGGCGGGCAGUUUGACUGGGGCGGUCGCCUCCUAAAAGGUAACGGAGGCGCUCAAAGGUUCCCUCAGAAUGGUUGGAAAUCAUUCAUAGAGUGUAAAGGCAUAAGGGAGCUUGACUGCGAGACCUACAAGUCGAGCAGGGUCGAAAGACGGACUUAGUGAUCCGGUGGUUCCGCAUGGAAGGGCCAUCGCUCAACGGAUAAAAG